rnacentral:rRNA from 1 species
AUUGAACGCUGGCGGCAUGCUUUACACAUGCAAGUCGAACGGUAACAGGCCGCAAGGUGCUGACGAGUGGCGAACGGGUGAGUAAUGCAUCGGAACGUGCCCAGUCGUGGGGGAUAACGCAGCGAAAGCUGCGCUAAUACCGCAUACGAGCUAUGGAUGAAAGCGGGGGACCGAAAGGCCUCGCGCGAUUGGAGCGGCCGAUGUCAGAUUAGGUAGUUGGUGGGGUAAAGGCUCACCAAGCCAACGAUCUGUAGCUGGUCUGAGAGGACGACCAGCCACACUGGGACUGAGACACGGCCCAGACUCCUACGGGAGGCAGCAGUGGGGAAUUUUGGACAAGGGGCGCAAGCCUGAUCCAGCAAUGCCGCGUGCAGGAAGAAGGCCUUCGGGUUGUAAACUGCUUUUGUACGGAACGAAAAGGCUCUGGUUAAUACCUGGGGCUCAUGACGGUACCGUAAGAAUAAGCACCGGCUAACUACGUGCCAGCCGCCGCCGUAAGAC